rnacentral:rRNA from 1 species
CGUGGGCGUAGGAAAUUUGAGAGGAGCUGUCCUUAGUACGAGAGGACCGGGAUGGACAUACCUCUGGUGUACCAGUUGUCGUGCCAACGGCAUAGCUGGGUAGCUAUGUAUGAACGGGAUAAGUGCUGAAAGCAUCUAAGCAUGAAGCCCCCCUCAAGAUGAGAUUUCCCAACUUCGGUUAUAAGAUCCCUCAGAGAUGAUGAGGUUAAUAGGUUCGAGGUGGAAGCGUGGUGACACGUGGAGCUGACGAAUACUAAUCGAUCGAAGACUUAAUCAAUUU